UACGUAGGGUGCGAGCGUUAAUCGGAAUUACUGGGCGUAAAGCGUGCGCAGGCGGUUCGUUGUGUCUGAUGUGAAAGCCCCGGGCCUAACCUGGGAAUGGCAUUGGAAACUGGCGAGCUGGAGUGUGGCAGAGGGGGGUGGAAUUCCGCGUGUAGCAGUGAAAUGCGUAGAGAUGCGGAGGAACACCGAUGGCGAAGGCAGCCCCCUGGGCCAACACUGACGCUCAGGCACGAAAGCGUGGGGAGCAAACAGG
rnacentral:rRNA from 1 species